rnacentral:rRNA from 1 species
GGAGGGUGUGAGCGUUAUUCGGAAUUAUUGGGCGUAAAGAGCGCGUAGGCGGUCUUUUAAGUCAGAUGUGAAAGCCCGAGGCUUAACCUCGGAAGUGCAUUUGAAACUAAGAGACUUGAGUAUGGGAGAGGGAAGUGGAAUUCCUGGUGUAGAGGUGAAAUUCGUAGAUAUCAGGAGGAACACCGGUGGCGAAGGCGACUUCCUGGACCAAUACUGACGCUGAGGCGCGAAGGCGUGGGUAGCAAACAGGAUUAGAUGCCCUGGUAGUCCACGCAGUAAACGGUGAACACUAGGUGUAGCGGGUAUUGACCCCCUGCUGUGCCGAAGCUAACGCAUUAAGUGUUCCGCCUGGGGAGUACGACCGCAAGGUUA